GUUGGGUGGAGGCCAUCGGGUAUCGGCCACAUCCUCUGCGUCGCGUUGGCCGACCGCUGUGUGCAGUGUGAGCCGCGCUGCUGCCUCCCCAUACGUUGCCUCGCCGUGGGGCUCCGCUUCGGCCGUCCCCACAGCCACGACAGACAAAGAUUGUUUAGGAAACUUCAAAGGGUCUUUGUUCUCGUUGUGUUUUGUCUCGUUCUCUGGCAUAUAACAAUGUACAGAAUGCGUAUGGAAAAAAUUAUCUUCGCUUAAAUGGUUUCUUCUCUGUGCACAUGGAAAAUGCCUUGUAGAGACUUCCUGCAGCCCCACAGACUCAGACAAUGCAGUUUACAGCACUGUUGUAAUGUAAAUCCAAUAUAAAAUGAAAUGAGAUGGUUUGUUAUUCUUACCAGAGUCAGAUGUCAAGUACUGCAGUCUUAAAGCCAAACGAGACCAACAAACCGAACCACCCCAAAGCAAAGGGACAGAGCUUUGGAGGGGCCGCAGUGUGUGGCCUGAGCGCAGCGGCUGUAUGGACUGUGCCGCCCCGCCGUGCUGCUAAUUGGGCCAUAAUUUCUGCCCUCAUUAGCCCUUAGGGCUGCGUGUGCUGCCCAGGAGAAGCCCCACUGACCCCACUGUGACAUUACAGCGAUCUAUCUGUGGGAUGACACACUCAAUUCACACCCCGUAAGUCCAAGCUAUAAGGUAAAAGUAAUCCCUUUCUAUUCUCUCCUAAACAGAACUGCUCCUGGAAAGCAGAAACAAAUCCUAGUAAUUGCUCUAUGCCCCGGGAGUCCUUAACAGAGCAUCUGCAGACAUGACAGGACCACGGCUGCUCCGGGAUCACUGCAGUGUUCAGCAAUGGCAGAGAUCAGUUCAUGCGUUACUCUUUCAGUGCUGUGUGUGCGCUCGGUGCUGUGACAUUGCAAAGAAGAUGACUUUGUUUUCCUGCUGCAAGGAGGGUGAAAUCUUAACAUCCCGAUGGUAUGGAAGGAGAGUUUUCUCUGACUGUCCAAACUGGCAUACAAUGUAAGCUGGGGGGGAGGGGAGGCUGUGUGCAUGCUCGGUGUUAGAGAACAAGCUAGUCGUGCUUCGUAUAAUGGCAAUACUUUCCAGUUGCAGCUCUCCUACGCAGAAGUUUAAUCUCCCUCACACGGACAGGGGGAGAGCAAUAAGAACUACAUCACUUUCAAUGUAGCCAGUUUUCUAGGAACCAGAAAAGUAUCUGUCAAGUGUGUGUUUCUGGUCACUUUUCCCUUUUUUUUUUUUUUUUUUCCUAUGUUUCCAUUUAUACCCCGCUGAGUUCCUACGCUCCUACCUGGUAAGAAAAUUAACACGGUUGCUAAGCUCUAAGAGGGAAGGGACUGCUUCCUUAGGUCUGAUCUGACCAAUGUUACCUUUAUUAAUGUAAAUAAUGACAUCACCAUUGCAGCACGGGAAUCUUAAAUAGUUCUGGGAGAACAAAUGUUAAGAAGGACGUCCCCGUGAGGCACGUGAUUCAUCUCCACAUGUGCAUGUUGGAGAGAUGCUGUUGUCCUGAGCCAGAUCAGCUCUGCUCAUCAAUUUGUAAUCUAUUAGCAAAGCCAUUCACUUUUUGUUGUUUGUUUUUUUUUCCCAACCGUGUGUAAGUUGGUGCUUGCAGCCUGCUGGGAAGUGCUGGGCAAAGCACAGGCAGCUCUUGUGUCCUUUUCAGCCUUCCUCCAGGAAUCUGUUUUUGCACUCCUCCAGAAGCCUUUUGUAAAUGAUGCCUGAACCAUAAAGCUCCGCUAACCGCCGUCUGCCUGCAGUGAUUCAGUGUUACUCAUCGGAGCGCUGCUGCCCGGGGCUCUGAUGAGCUGUUGGGGAAGCGCUUGGUUUCCUACAGGAGAACAGUUUGCUGAUGUCUAUUAGGAAAUAUCACUGCAUUCAGGUUCAGCCUCUGCUGCGUGGCUCAGAGUGUAGGAAAUGUCCAUCCUUUCUGGCCAGGGCUUGAAAAGCAAAAUGAUACGCUGGCUGUAACGGCUGCCAGGGGCGAACAUCUGCUCUACAGCUUGUCAUUCAGCUUCUAAAGCUCUCCGAUCCUUCUGUCUGCUGGAGAGAGAAAGCCCUGUUUUCUCCUCACCUGGAUUUCCUGUGCCAAAAGGAACACCUAUCUAGUGAAUGGUCACGAGAGAUGUAGGCAAUUCUCAUUUCCCAGUGCCUGCCUCUGUGCCUGCAUGUGGCCUCGAGCAUCACAGAACCGUAGAACGGUUUAAGUUGGAAGAGACCCUUGAAGGCCAUCUGGUCCAACUGCCCUGCACUGAACAGGGACACCUACAGCUCCAUCAGGUGCUCAGAGCCCCAUCCAGCCUGACUUUGAAUCAGCAAGCAGCUUCACUUGUACUGCCCGCGCAUGGGCAGAACACUGUAUUGGUGUUGCCACUUCUCUCUGGCUUUAAGCCAGCUCUGCCUCACUCACUUCUGGGUUGGAUUCCUAAUUUCUGUCAUCUGGUUGUUGCCUUUUCCUUGCUGCUGCUUGCAGCACUGCUGAGCUAUCAGCUGAACAGGGAAACACUGAUGGACUGACCCACCAGCCUGGCUCCUGGCCCUGCCGAGCGCUGGGAGCAGGACACGGAUUUGCUUUAUAUCAUUUCUGCCAUGUUUCCCUGACUCUAAUACACAAGUUCUAGGCUGAAAUCUGAGGAACAACUUAUGUAAGGAGAUUUUGGCUACUUUUGGAGAGCCUGGCCUCAUUGGGUUAAUGUUUUGGGUGCCACCUUUGUGCAGAGGUUCUCAGAAGAACCUUGAGAUGCCAUUCACCUAGAAAUUAGCUGUGCCUGGUAGCAUUAGGUAGCUUCUCUGCUCUUCCAGAGAUCCUGGUUAGCCAUCUGGAAACCUCAUCCUGUGAUUGCUCCAGAAUCUGGAAGGCCUUUUUUAACUACUAAUCCCAGAAACAGAUUUUCCCUUCAUCCUGUCUGUCAACACAGCCUUUAACUUGUUUUUAUGGGCUUCAGCACAUGUUUGACGCAUCAUUGCCUUAGGAUAUGGGCUACGUCUUCCAGACCCCUUCAGUGGUCAUUGUAUCUACAUACAGCACCUUCUGGAGAAGGCCUAAUGGAGUGGGCAUUUAGGAGGAUCUUCUGUGUGUCCCUCAGAACACGUCUUUGUGCAUACCUACAACAGGAAUCAGCGUAGUGUAGAGCAUUACGAGUGUGAAAUCCUAGGAGACUUUAGUUUACAUUGCAUCUUGUUUUGCUUCAGCAGAAUUGAGCAAUGUUUUCAUUAUGAUAUGAUGAAAACUGUACUAAAACGUACAGGAGUGUGUCUGGCACUCCCAGCUCCUUCCACCCACCGUGGCAUGCCUGAAGAGCACCACAAUACAGGCACCCUCUGCCAGCUGGGAGCAAAACGAGCAGAAAGCUGCUGCCUGCUCUCUCUUGCUUCUUAAGGAAGAAGUCAGACGUAGCAACGUUUCUUGAAAGCUCCAAAUAUAUGCUUAUGGGCCCUGCAAGGCCCAGCAGGAUACAAAGCCACCAGUUCCAGUUCUCAUUUGUGCCAGAACUUCAAAGCGUUUCCUUUUAUGCAGUAAUCUUAAACGUAGUCCAAGAAAACACGCACACGAUUACUUAGAUAUUCCAGUUAUGCCACCAACAUGGAAACCCGAAUGAUGAUAUUUUCCACAGGCAAAGCUUCCCUCGUUAGUUCAGUGCAAAAGUCUUCUGCUGGCCUGGAGGGAAGAUGCAGCCGCCAUGGUCUGAGCAGUGGUUGCUGCUUCCGUGUGGUGGCUGUGAUGCACUGAGCAAUGGGGCCGUGACACAGCCGCCAAAGUCCUUUUCUAUUUAGGGUCAGAAUGGUUGUUCAUUAUAGUCGUAACCUUCUUCUGAAAGAGAAGCUUUGUGUUGACUACCCAGUGCUAAUUUAUUACACAAUUUCAUAGGAUCACAGAAUUGUUUGAGUUGGAAGGGACCCUUAAAGGCCAUUUGGUCAGCCCCCCUGCACUGAACAGGGACACCCACAGCUCCAUCAGGUGCUCAGAGCCCAUCCAGCCUGACCUCGGCUGUCUGCAGGGAUGGGGCACCCACCCCUCUCUGGGCAACCUGUACCGGUGCCUCACCACCUUGUUGUAAACAACAACUUCCUUGCUUCCAGUCUUUCCUUGUAUCCAGUCUCCCCUCUGUUAGCUUGAAGCUGUUUCCCCUUGUCCUCUAACAACAGACCCUGCGAAAGAGUCUGUCCCUUCUUUCUUACAGCCCCCCCACUCACUGACAGGCUGCUCGCAGGUCUCCCCGGAGCCUUCCCUCCUGCGGGCAGAGCAGCCCCAGCUCAGCCUGUUCUCACAGGGGGGUAUUCUGUGCCUCGGAGCAUUUCUGUGGCCCUUUUCUGGACGUGCUCCAACAGGUCCAUGUCUCUCCUGUAUCAAGGACUUCCAAUGUUAACUAAAAGCUCAUGUAAUAACUAAGCAAAAUUAGUUUGGGCAAGACGUGUUUCUAUCCCAGAGACUUAAUCUCUUCUUGAAAACGUUCAAAGCCGAAGUACACCAACUUCUGCCAGUAUGGCUACGUCAUUCAGCAGUGGGUUUAUUUGGUUUGCGGGGCCAUUGCACAGGCUUGUUUUGUGCUUGCUCACUGGGCCACGGCUGCUCUGCUCCGGAGAUUAUAGCUGUAUCAUACAAACAUACAACGAGAUGGGCAUAUUAUGUUUAUGACUGCUAUUGUACUAUUUGGGUAAGUGCAGCUAAGCAGGCAGAGCCUGAGAUCCUCUCCUGCUGGAAUCACCUCCUGACAGCACUUGACCCUGCAGCCCAGGCGAGGUGGGUUUGUCCCGUGGUGCUGCAGCAGAAGCUCCAGGUCCUGGGCAGAGCAGGAACACUGAGCAGCAGCCACGAGGGCCAGCAGAGACCCAUCAUCCCAUCACGCUUGAAGUGUUUUCAAGGGCUACAGGAAGCGUGGUCAGAAAUGAGGAGAUCGUUCAAGGAUCGUUUAGAUGUAGAGAAUUCCUCUUGGUUAAGCAAAUAUCCUGCUGAGUUUCUCCCGGAAAAGAAUUCCAUGUGUAAGUUUGUACAUUUUCCAGAUUAUUAGGGAUGGGAUACCAGAGCAACUUCUAUUUCUACCAACUGAGCCUGCGCCGGGGCCUAAAGCUCCCUUCCCAGUUGGAAAGUUUGCAGUUAAGAAAACAAAAUAGGUUUUUAUGAGCAAUGUUUAGUUCGAGCGUUUGGCUGAUUCUGCUGCUGCAGCCUUUAAGGUCAAAGUUUGAUUCACUGACGUGUGGUAGCCUGAGAACAGGAGUGAAAGGGAUGGGGGGGAAGUAGUCCCAAAGGUCUCUGUUUUCCUGUCCACUAAUACUUCUUUCCUGCCCGUCAGAUGUAUGUUUGACCCAUGCUUCUAAAUUAAGUGACACAAAGAGAAAUCCAUUCCUACAGCUUUCCCUGCCCUCUUUUUCUGCCCAUUGUCGCCAGCUGUGCCAUGGGUGUGUUCACUUUGCUCCGUCAGGAAGGGAACCCCAUCUUUCCAUCUUUGGGGACGCGUUCUGCGCACGACGGUGCAGUGCAGAUGCCGUGACCUUAUACACAUAUUCCGUUAGCUUAGAGAAUGGAAAAUGGGUGUUUUAUUAUUCUUAUUACUCAUUAGGAAUAACUUUAAAGGAAGCGCCCUGUUCUCCGUGGGAUGCUGUGCAGCGAGGCAGGCGGUGCGGGAAGCCGUAGCCGGCACCCUCCUUUUGUUGCUGUGUGUUGGUGUGUUUGCGUAGGUGUGUGUUUGUCCAGGAUUCCUACAGGGGUUACUUUGGGGAUCCGUCCGUAAUCUCUUCCCCCAGCAGCCAGGUCCCCCUCGCUCUGUCUCUCCUCGUUAUCCCCCCACUGCUGCGUAACCCCCAGCAAUAGCACCUCCAAAAAGCCCUGCCCUCCUCCACGUUGGUACUUCCACUGCUGUUUCCCAGAGACACACUCAUAGAUUCAUACAAUCAUCUGAGUUGGAAGGGAGCCCUAAAGGCCAUCUGAUCCCACUGCCCUGCACUGAACAGGGACACCCACAGCUCCAUCAGGUGCUCAGAGCCACCCAGCCUGACCUCGGCUGUCUGCAGGGAUGGAGCACCACCACUUCUCUGGACAACAUAGCAGUCAUCAAUCCAUCACUUACAAUACCCCAUAAUAUCCUGAGUGAUGGUUCUGAGCGCUUCUCCUAGCUGUGUUCACAAAGCAGCUGCAAAGCAUGAGGCUAUCAGAGGAGACAGGCCCACGUCCUGCCCAGGCUCUGUUACUGCAGAGCUGUGAUUGAUUUACUGCUUCCAUAAACGCAGCAGGUGGCACUGCCAAACGCGGUGAUUUACCUGGGGCCACCCCUGUGUUACGUAGAAAAAAAGAAGGAAAAAAAAGCUCAUCCUCGGAGCAAAGGAUGGGUUGUCUUCUUUUUAUCUUUCGGAUACGCAGUGAUCUGGGGAUAAUUGCAAUGCUCAAAAGACAGCUGCUCUUGGAGAUGAGAACAACGGGAGCCGAGUGCAGGCAGCCCAGCCCUGCCCUCCCUGCGAGGAGGGGAAGGUGCUGUGGUGUCCGCCCUGGGGCAGGAUGCUGGCAGGUGGAGUUCUCAAGUGGGCUGAGUAGGGAGACCAAUCUUUUCCGCAGGGAAUGGGUGUGCUUGGCCGUGCAGAGGACCCCCCGUCGUUUUCCUCCCGGUUUUUACCAUGUACUUCAUGCUUUGCUCUGUAAAGCACUGUGAUAUAGUUUGUAUACAUUCUGUAAAAUAAGUUGUAUUCUAUUAUAUUGAAGAAAUAUGGAUAUAAAAUAAAGUCGAAGGAUGGAGUAAAGUAGCCGUGUGGUAACUGGACACACUGUCCCCGGUGGCGUUGGUUGUCCCAUUCCCCAAUCCAUCCCCGGCCACGAGCCGUCUGACGCCAUGGCCAGCAGGAAAAGCCCCAAAUCCCUGCGGCCCCGCAGCACGUCCGGGCCAUCGGCACAGGGGUUACUGCACGGCCCCUUCUGCUCUGUGAGAAAUUCCCCUGCUGGCAGCUGCUAAACCAGGAGAUUGAUGGAGCGGGGCCGUGGAAAGGGCCGACCAUGGGCUCGUCACCCCCAGCCGGCGCGCACCCGGUGAGUCACGGCCCCACUUCCCACACUGACGUCGUGCUUGGAGCUCGCCCAGCGCACGGCCUGGGAACUCGCGAGGAGAUCACCCCAUGCUGCGGCUGCGGGCUGACCCCCUUCAGAAACUGGAAGGAACCUAAAAGGUGUCAGCUGGGUGUGGGAUACAGUCUGGUUCCUAUCUGGAGUGUGUGGCCGUGUUCCUGCUGAGUGGGAGAAGCACUGAGCCCCGACCCUUGGAGCUGACAGAGGGCCGAGAGCUCCGGGAUCAGGAUGAAAUGAGCUGUGCUUGUUUAGCUGCGAGUGCCAUCAGGUCCUUG
ensembl:lncRNA